GCCAGUGCCCACAGAAAAACUAAAUUCGGAACCUCUUCCUCCUGUUACACUGGCAACAAAGAGGGAGUUUCCGUAGCGCUCCCGUCACCCACCAGGUGCCCAAUCUCCUUCCCAGCCCAGAGUCGGCGCUCCCGCAGGGGCCUCCGAGUGCGGGGAGGCCGCGGGGCCCGGGUCACGGCACUAAGGGGGGAUGGGGUGCAAGCGAGCAAGCGAGGUCUGCGGAGCGGGCCGUGGAAGGGCUCCGGGACCCGCUGAAACCAUCUGAACCCAGCCAGGGGGCAGCGGGCAAGAGAAAAGGGACAGAAUAUCUAAUGAAGCAGAAACUGGAAUUCGGUGGGAGAGGUGAAGAGCUCUUGCUGGGGGUACACCUGCGAGGAGCACAGAAAACGGGCGGCGGAUGGCGGGGAGACUCCACGGAGGUGGAAGAGAGGAGCCAGGCCCGGAAGAACAGGGAAGGGGAUGCCACCUGGGGCAGAGGAGGCGCCAGUGCAGCCUCUACCUGCAGGCGGGCGGGACGGGCAGCUCAGGUGUGACUGGGAGGAGGGGGCCGACUGGGGAAGGGGCCGGGAAGAGCUGAGGGCGCACUAGGCGCCGCGCAGAGGCGCCUUUGAGUCGGCAGCCGCGGAGCCAGCGCACGGGCAUCGGCGGGACCCGGCGGACGGAAAGGCGGAGUGGGGGUCUUUGGACUGCACGACUAUAAUUUCAUGUGUGUGAAAUUCAAGGGGAAAAAGGAAACAAUACAUAAUCCAGCAUCACCAGUGUCACACUUCAGGACCUGAUGAAAUGUUUUAUCUUCUGAAAAGCUUUCCUGGCUCAGAUGAGGUGACUCAUGUCAGCCUACACAAAGGCUUCUUCAUAUACUAGAAUUUCUACUAUAAUUUUUCAGCCUUUCCACAAAACAAGUCUUACCAUAAUCCAGCAACAGAGCAAAAGAGAAGUCAAUGAUGAGAAGCUUGAUAAUGUAAAGGUUUAGUUCUAAGUCUGUAGCUUCUCAUGGAUCGUGCAAAGCACCACCAGGACAGACAUCUCAAGCACAUUUGAAGAGCUCCUGUUUCCUAAGUAAGACAGCAGCAGCAAGACUGCAAUCAUUUCUGGGAAGGCAGUAUCAUCAUAAUGCAAUAUUAGCUACUGUGAUCUUCUAUCAUUUCCUUCCUGGAGAGUUAUGACUGUGGCAUUGAAGAUUUAAGACCUACAGCCUCAACACUACUUACUACAAAUCUCUCACAAAGCUGCUGCAAUAAAUCUCGUGGAGGAAAGUCAUUGCAUAAAAAAAUCCUCAACUCCAGGGAGUUGGCCAUUUAUUUUCCUAGAAAAGGGGCUGUGAUGAGAGACACUCCAUGCUCCUUUAACUCCAUGGAACAGAACCCAACAAAACAUUCAUCAUGGAAAGUUGACUGAUGGGCCCAGUGAGACUAGCUGGGGAAGGAAGAUGGAAAGAGAAGUGCCCCAUCCAAGGCCUGCUCCUUUUCCUAGCUGCAGCCCGGAGGGAUUUCCUCUUAGCUUGAGGAUUGACUUUCCAUAGAAUCAGCACCACUGAGGGUAAGCUUCCCUGAAGACAAACUCUGUCAUUGGAGAGCUCAGCCAGGGGUCUAAAACUGGACCCUAUGGACUCCACAGAUUUAUUUAGUCUGCACAGUGUUUAAAAAUGUUUUUAGUUAGGGCCAGGCAUGGUGGCUCCCACCUGUAAUCCCAGCACUUUGAGAGGCCGAGGUGGGUGGAUCACCUAAGGUCAGGAGUUUGAGACCAGCCUGCCUGACAUGGCAAAACCCAGUCUCUACUAAAAAUACAAAAAUUAGCUGGGCAUGGUUGCUCAGGCCUGUAAUCUCAGAUACUUGGGAGGCUGAGGCACAAGAAUCACUUGAACCUGGGAGGCGGAGGUUGCAGUGAGCCAAGAUCGCACCAUUGCACUCCAGCUUGGGUGACAAGAGUGAAACUCCAUCUCAAAAAAAAAAAAAAAAGUUUCUAGUUAGUUCCCAACAUAAAAAAUUAACAAUUUUGCAAAGAAAGAUAAAAUCCAGAUUUUGGGCUCCCCUAAACAAAUUGGGAUAUCUGAAAACAGUGGGCCACAUUCCUACAUUCCUGCCCCUGUUGACAGUAUGCGCCUGCUCUAAUUUUACUUCCCCUUUUACCCUAACUGCCCUGUAGGGAAUGGAGUUUGCAAUCCCCAUACUAAUCCAUCACCCUGCAGGUCCAUUCCCCUCCUCCCUGACCUCUGUUCUGAUAAGGGGUGAGAGAAUGAACCCCCAUAUGUAUUGAUGAGAAAAUACAACUGACUAAUCCCACCUAAACCAUGACCUCAUAUAAAUUCAGAAGAUCUUUCUAACAUGGCAGGGAGGCAGCCUAGUAUAAAGCAAAGAGCACAUGCUUUGCGAAUGUAAACCAAAAAUAAAAGUUGAAGGCCCUCCUCACCAUAUGAAUGGUCUCCUUCCUUUGCCAGGGCACCCUAAAAUUUAACUGGUUGAGGCCAUGAUGGGUAGUAGGGGUUGGACAUGCCUCAUUAUACCCUUCCAGCAGUAACAUCAACACAGACUUUAAGUCUGAUAAGAAACAUUUACAGUCUAUUUUCUCUAAAGCCUGCUACUUGGAGAUAUAAAACCUAGGUCUCCACAACCCCUAUUGUAACCCAGCCAUUUCUUUCUAAUGAUAAUAAGUCUUUCAACCAAUUGCCAAUCAGAAUAUGUUUAAAUCUUCCUAUGACCUAGAAGCACCCCACUCUUUGAGUUGUCCCACCCUUCCAGAUUGAACCAAUGUAAAUGGUUCAAUUGAUUGAUGUGUUAUAUCUCCCUAAAGUGUAUAAAAGGAAGCUGUACCUCAACCAUCUUGGGCACGCGUCUUCAGGAACUCCUGAGUCUGUGUCACAGGUGUGUCCUUAACCUUGGCAAAGUAAACUUUCCAUUACUUAUAAUGGCAAAAACUGCAAUUACUUUUGCACCAACCUAAUAAAUGGAUUGAGACUUGCCUCAGAUACUUAUUGGUUUAUACCUAGAGGCAGACCUUGGCUCAAAUCCCAUCUCUCCCUUACUCUGGGAUAUUGUCCAACUUGCUCAGCCUCUUGAAACCUACUUUGCUUACAGCAAAAUGGGUAUAAGGGGAUCUUUCACCCAAGCCUUUUGUGAGGACUAAAUGUGGUAAUGGACAUUAAGUGCCAGACCCCUUGAAUGUGCCAUCUUCUCUCAGCUUCUAUAAUGUCAUGCUGUCAGUUCCCUCCUUUUCUUUUUUUCUUUUCUUUUCUUUUUUUUUUUUUUUUUUGAGACGGAGUCUUGCUCUGUCCCCCAGGCUGGAGUGCAGUGGCACGAUCUCGGCUCACUGCAAGCUCCGCCUCCCGGGUUCACGCCAUUCUCCUGCCUCAGCCUUCCGAGUAGCUGGGACUACAGGCGUCCGUCACCGCGCCUGGCUAAUUGUUUUUGUAUUUUUCUUAGAGACUGGGUUUCACAGUGGUCUCGAUCUCCUGACCUCGUGGUCCGCCCGCCUCGGCCUCCCAAAGUGCUGGGAUUACAGGUGUGAGCCACCGCGCCCAGCCUAGUUCCCUCCUUUUCAUGGCUUCUUUGCUUCAUCUUUUCUGUCUCCUUUGAAGGUAUGCCUUCCUGGAAUAUACCAUAAAUGUCAGUGUUCCUCAGGAUUCUAUCUUGACCUGACUCCCCCGACCCAACUGCUAGCUUUUCCCUCUGUCUAAUGCUGGUACAGAUACAUAAACUGAUAGGUAGAUUACAACACAAUUCGAUUUUCUGUUUUGCUUUUUUUUUUGGCUUAUUAUUACAUAAACUUUUUUUCAUUGCUGCCAUACAUUCUUCAAAAUAAACACUUCGGGGGGCGAGCUGGCCCAGCACUUUGGGAGGCCAAGGAGGUGGAUCACUUCAGGUCAGGAGUUCGAGACCAGCCUGACCAACAUGGUGAAACCCCCAUCUCUACUAAAAAUACAAAAAUUAGCCGGGUGUUGGUGCAAGCACCUGUAAUCUCAACUGCUCGGGAGGCUGAGGCAUGAAAAUCACUUGAACCCGCGAGGCAGAGGUUGCAGUGAGCCAAUAUAGUACCACUGUACUCCAGCCUGGGCAACAGAGCUGCGAGACCUUGUCUCAAACAAAACAAAACAAAACAAAAUAAACACUUCAUGGCUGAACAAUAUGCCAUUUCCUGAAUAGAUUGUAAUUUACCUAAUCAUUUCUCUAAUAGUGGACACUUAGGUUGUUCUAAUUUUGAAAGGCAGGAAUACCAAGAAUGUUUUCUUGCACAUGGCAGAUUAUUUCUCAGUAUAGGCUCAUCCUUUCGAGUAUAUGGCAUCUUUUCUUCUUUCCCUCCUCUCUCUCCUCAGAAGUACUCAAGGCCCCGGAGAUACUUUGGCUGUAUCCCCACCAAUCUCAUCUUGAAUUGUAGCUCCCAUGAUUCCCAUGUAUCCUGAGAGGGACCCAGUGGGAGGUAAUUGAAUCAUGGGGGCAGGUCUUUCCCGUGCUGUUCUAGAGAUAGUGAAUGAGUCUCACAAGAUCUGAUGGUUUUAUAAAGGGCGGUUCCCCUACACAAGUUCUCUCUUGCCUGCCACUUUGCUCCUCAUUUGCUCUCUGCCAUGACUGUGAGCCCUCCCCAGCCAUAUGCAACUGUGAGUCAAUUAAACCUCUUUUCUUAAUAAAUUACCCAGUCUCUGGUAUGUCUGUAUUAGCAGUGUGAGACAGACUAAUACAGCCCUUAUGUGUCCAGAAGUACUGACUUUCUUGGAUGAUACCUUAAGUAAAGCCUAAUAAAGCUUUAGUGACUGAUACAUUUUUAAAAAUGAAGUAAUUAUUUAUGUGUAAUGAGACAAAUUAUUUAUUUCAGAGUGUUAUUUGCCUUACUCUCUUCCCCCAGCAAAAGGAGUCCUCAAGUGGCCAGCCACAUUUUCUCAUUUCUCCUUUCUUCAAAAACUGAUGGGAUCUUGCUUGAUGAAGUCACAUAACAAGUGAAUACAGCAAAGAGAGAGGGAAGGGGGAGGAAAUAGCCGUUGGGAAUGGAGUGUUGUUGGAUGAGCUUUGUGAAGUGUGGGAAGAGAAAGAUACUAGAGGAGACCGAGACAAAUGGAUAGGUGAAGAAACAGAAUUUUAGUAAGUGGUGCUGUAUGCUAUAUAUGUGGAUUUGCCUCAAAGUUUUAAAAAAUGGCAAGCAG
rnacentral:lncRNA from 10 species